UGGUGGAGUGAUUUGUCUGGUUAAUUCCGUUAACGAACGAGACCUUAACCGGCUAAAUAGUCACGCGAUUAUAUAAUCGUGACUGACUUCUUAGAGGGACUGUUGGUGUUUAACCAAAGUCAGGGAGGCAAUAACA
rnacentral:rRNA from 1 species